rnacentral:rRNA from 1 species
UACAGAGGGGGCUAGCGUUGUUCGGAAUUACUGGGCGUAAAGGGCGCGUAGGCGGCCCGCUAAGUCGAACGUGAAAUCCCUCGGCUUAACCGGGGAACUGCAUCUGAUACUGGAUGGCUUGAGAUUGGGAGAGGGAUGCGGAAUUCCAGGUGUAGCGGUGAAAUGCGUAGAUAUCUGGAGGAACACCGGUGGCGAAGGCGGCAUCCUGGACCAACACUGACGCUGAGGAGCGAAAGCCAGGGGAGCAAACGGG